UACGUAGGGGGCAAGCGUUGUCCGGAUUUAUUGGGCGUAAAGAGCGUGUAGGCGGCCAGGUAGGUCCGUUGUGAAAACUCGAGGCUCAACCUCGAGACGCCGAUGGAAACCAUCUGGCUAGAGUCCGGAAGAGGAGAGUGGAAUUCCCGGUGUAGCGGUGAAAUGCGCAGAUAUCGGGAGGAACACCGGUGGCGAAGGCGGUUCUCUGGGCCUUACCUGACGCUGAGGAGCGAAAGCGUGGGGAGCGAACAGG
rnacentral:rRNA from 1 species